rnacentral:lncRNA from 1 species
GUGCGCAGUUCCCGUGCCCUAGGAGUUGGCGGCGGGGCCCAGCCGAGGUAUAAGUUCCACAGCUUCACCCUUGUCGGUGUGAUAUGGGCGUGAAAGAAGACAUAAAACAGGCUUCCCGAGUAGAACCUGCCACCCCGGGCUGGUGGGGACGCGGCACCAGGCCGGGCCGGGGGAAGCCGCUCGGACAGUGGUCCUUGGGUGAGCGCCUUCUUCGGGGCCCAUGGGCCAGGCCAGUGCGGCCCGGGACGCCCCGGACCACCUGGGGAAGAACCGCCCGGGCCGGCCUUUGGCUGUCCCAGGCAGCGGCUGGAGCCCGAGUGGGCCCUGGCGGGAUCUGGGACGGGGAGGGUCUGCGGCGCAGCCAGGAGGCCUGGGAAGUCCCGAGGUGGGUAGAGAAGGGCCGCGAGGGGGCGCUGAGACGGCGAGUGGCCGGGCCUGGGAGUGACAGUUGUCAGGAGAGCAGUCAGGACACCGUUGCUCAGAGUCCAGGCCGGUUAGGACCAGAGCCUACCCCGGGUGGCAUGGUGAUGAUCCAGAUUCAGGAGACAUGUCUGAGAAAGGAUCGUUCAGACUUUUUGACCUAUUUUACAUGAGGAAUAAAGGAUAGAGGUCAGGAAAGUUGUCCAAAAA